rnacentral:lncRNA from 1 species
GUCUGGCGUAGCCUGAGCACUCACGUGCGCGUCUGCAAUGCAGCAUCAGAUCUCGAUAGGCAAAUUUUGGCACAAUUCUCAGAGUUUUACAAACCCAAGAAUGGAAGCUGAGAUAGCGCUAUUGAGUAGCAGACUCCCUUCCUCCUCCGCCAGCCCCGGCACCACAGUGAAAUGGGAUGGCUGCGGUUUAUGGUUCACAUUUCAACCUGGAUGGUGGGAGUUUCCAUGUUAUGGUCAUAGCUGCAAAUCUCUGCCACUCUCAGUGCUGACUGCUAACUGUUCAGGUGCACAUGCAGAGAAGGAAGUCUCUGCCACUCUCAGUGCUGACCGCUACCUGUUCAGCACCUCUGCAUGGCAAAGGAAGAAAGGAAGGAAGGAAAGAAGACAGGAAGGAAAGAAGGAAGGUGGAGAAGAUUUUAGAAGGAGCAUUUAAUUCAACUGGAUACUCCCAGCACCAAAUCUCCCCUCUAAGAAACAUGGCUGAGACCAAAGAAAGAAGCAAGAAUGCCCUCUGAAGAGCCAGCUCAAGCUCCUGGAGUCAGAGCCAGCAGGAAUCAAUUAACUCCAGGAAACUGAGGCAACACAAAUGACCCCUGGCAUCCCCCAUGAGGACUGGAGGUUUCAGAAGCUGUGGAGACACGUCCGAUGUGCUAUCCUACCUGUGAAUUUGCUUCAUGGACACCUUGGCUGCCUACCCAACAGCAAUUCCCUACUCACUAUCUUCUAAUAGACCCUGAAUUUGUUCUAGUGUCCAUACCUUUCCAAGAAACCAUAGGCUUUAGGGAAUGCUGGUGUCAUUCCCAGUCCCAGGUGCUGAAGUUUGAAUAUAUUAACCCAAUGAAGAAAACUUCAUUCUUUGCCAGUGAUUGGUUUAGAAAGAAGCAGUUUUGGCCAGUGGGACAUGAAGGGAGGCUGUGAGGGGAGGCUUCCGAGAAAGGUUUCUUAGCUCUUUAAAAGAGACACAAGGAAAAGUCCCAUUUUUGUGUGUAUAAUGGAGUGUGAAGAUGUGAUGCCUGGACCUGCUGCAGCCAUUUUUUAACCAUGAGGAAGCUAACCAACAUGCUCAGGAUGGAAGAGCAGAAGAAAGAACUUGGGUUCUUGAUGAUGUUGUCAAGGUGCUGAAUUCAACAACCCUCGGGUUGUGACUUCUUGUUACGUGAGAUAAUAAAUCCAUUCACUGUUGC